GGUUUUUAGAUAUUAUUAAAAAUCAAACCUGCUCAAUGCUAAGUAAAUAGCCGCAGUAUUUUAACUGUGCAAAGGUAGCAUAAUCAUUUGUCUUUUAAUUGAGGACUGGAAUGAAAGGAAUAACUAUGUAAUUUUGUCUUAUAACAAUAUUUUGAAUUUAAUUUUUUAGUAAAAAAGCUAAAAUUAUUCUUAAAGACAAGAAGACCCUAUUAAGCUUUACAAUCUAAUAUUACUUUCAAACUAAUAUAAAAAUUGUUUUGCUGGGGCAGCAAGUAAAAAAUACUAUUUAUAUAUUGUGAUAAAUAAAUCUAGAAAAAUCAAUAAUUUAUUAAAAAAUAAUAAGUUACUAUAGGGAUAACAGCAUAAUUUUUUUAAAGAGUUCGCAUCAACAAAAAAGUUUGUGACCUCGAUGUUGGAUUAAGAAUUCUAUUUUGCGCAAGAGUAAAAAAAGAAAGUCUGUUCGACUUUUAAAUUCUUCCA
rnacentral:rRNA from 1 species